GACGAACGCUGGCGGCAUGCCUAAUACAUGCAAGUCGAGCGAACAGAUGAAGUGCUUGCACUUCUGACGUUAGCGGCGAACGGGUGAGUAACACGUAAGGAAUCUACCUAUAAGCGGGGGAUAACAUUCGGAAACGGGUGCUAAUACCGCAUAAUAUCUUCUUCCGCAUGGAAGAAGAUUGAAAGACGGCUCUGCUGUCACUUAUAGAUGACCUUGCGGUGCAUUAGUUAGUUGGUGGGGUAACGGCCUACCAAGACGAUGAUGCAUAGCCGACCUGAGAGGGUGAUCGGCCACAUUGGGACUGAGACACGGCCCAAACUCCUACGGGAGGCAGCAGUAGGGAAUCUUCCGCAAUGGGCGAAAGCCUGACGGAGCAAUGCCGCGUGAGUGAAGAAGGCCUUCGGGUCGUAAAACCCUGUUAUAAGAGAAGAACAAAUUGUAGAGUAACUGCUACAGUCUUGACGGUAUCUUAUCAGAAAGCCACGGCUAACUACGUG
rnacentral:rRNA from 1 species